GUCUCCUCCGGAGAUAUUCCUCUCAUGGGAGCCAUCAAGUCGAAGCAGUUGUACUCCUUGAGGAUCUGAAAGAGGGGGAAAAGAGAAACACAUGAAGCCGAAUCUAACAUGAAGUCUUGCAUCCGACAGAGAUUUUUGAAGAAGCAGGUGGCCUCCGUCUGCAGCAGCUCCCAUAUCGCCUCCUGCUGGUGGAACUGUCGCCUCGUCAGUGUCUGCACACACAAAGGCACACAUCAUGUUAUUAAAUAUAACAGAGAUAUUCCCAGAUUCUUUUAUUUUACAGCAGUCAUGACUUUGAUUGUAUUUUCAUUCCUGUAGAAGUCAAACUUUGAAUGGAUUUCACUGAAACUCUUUUUUAAAUUAAUGAUUUGGUCUCACAUGCAGAAGUGUUUAUCACUGACAUUUUGGAUUUUUAGCAACAAAUUCUUUGUCAAAGAUUAAUAGUAAGAAAAAAUGUUUUGUAAACAUACACAGCAAAAAUAAAAAAUAAAGCAAACAAAA